GCGCCCGGUAGCGCAGACGGUCGUCGCGCUCGACGCCUGAUCGAGAGGACGCCGGUUCGACUCCGGCCCGGGCGCG
rnacentral:tRNA from 1 species